UGGCUUGAUAAUCGGUGUGUAAGUCCGUGCCCAGGAUCUGAACCCAUGAACCCUGGGCUGCCGAAGCGGGGCAUGCGAACUUAACUACUACGCCACCUGGCCAGCAUCUAUUACCCUAGUUUUACUGGUGACAAAAUGGAGGCUCUAAUUGUCUAGGUGAUUUGGUCAAAGUCACACAAUUAUUGGGUCAUAGAGCCAGGACCUGAGCUCAUACUUUCUGAUCCCCUUCCUAUUAUGCUAAUUCUUUGAUUUAUCUUGGAAAAGACAUAUAAGGAGUUAAAGGCAUGUUUCAUUUAUAGUUGGUGUGGUGUUAACUUCUUUGACUCCCUUGCAAAAUUUUAUUUGCCUUUAAGCAAGAUCCUUUAACUUAAGCAAAAACUACACCAAACAAAACCAUCCUUACAAUAUAUAGCAUACAUAUAAAGAACUAAAGGGCAACACUCUCAGCUAAAAGAAAACAUUUUGUGUUUCAUUACAGAGCAGUUUUACAGCCCAAAUAGAAGCAAUUGUGAACCAGCUAAGAGGUUUUUCCUGUUACCUUAUUUGAUGAAGUUUCUUUACUGAACCUCCAAGGUCACUCUCAUAUAAAGAAACAGAGUAACAUCUGGAUUUCAAAGAAAAUUAAUCACUUCUUAAAGCUGUCCAAUUACUCUGUUAGAAGGUAUUGUUGUUAAGAAAUUAAAAUGGAAAUACCAGUGCUUGUCUCCUGAGAUUUGGUUGGAGAACCUUCUGGAUUCUAUUCUGUAGUUUGGCUCCUCUGACCUUGGACACAGCUUUUUAACCUUUCUUAACUCAUCUAAAACGUGCCUCAUAGAGGUUUGUUUUGGGUUUAGAAAUGCUUUGACAUUUUUGGAUUAAAGGUGAAGUGGACAAAAAUGCUAUUCUAAGGAAGCUUGGAGGCUAAUGAAAUAUUUUUAUUAUUCUUUUCAACUUUCGUCUCUGGAAGGGCAAGGAGUGUUUUAUUCUUGGAUCAUUUACUUAUUCAGCAAACAUUUACUGAGUACCAUGUACUACACCAUGACCAGCACCCUCCUCUGCUCUCCUGGUGCGGUGCCAUCAGGCGAUGCUUCUGAAAACACGGCAAAGGACCUUUAUUUCCCUUAUGGAAUGUGAGUGCUUGGUGGCCCUAUAUAGGCAAGAGUGGAAUUUUCUGUCUCCCCCAUAUAUAACUUGUACUUUACAAUAUCCUGCCUUACUGCUAUUGAAUGUGUCACAAGCAUUUGCUAUUAGAAGGUAAGCUCCUUGAAGGAGGAAUCCAUGGCUUACUUUUCCAUUACUCUAUUCAGUACAAAAGAGUAGUGAGGAAUUCUUUACCAAGGAGUCCACGAUGGAUGCGUUUCGCAGCACUUGUGUACUCCCUGAAACUGUAAAACAUUAUUUUUGCAUGUACAGUUUUCUGUGAAGAAGGUCCAUCAUUUUCAUUAGAUUCUCAAAGGGGUAAGUGGCUCGUGGUUGACCUCUGUAGGUUAACCACUCUAAUGGGCUUUUGAUGACUACUUGAAUGGUAGAAACUAUAGAAAAACAGAUAUGACCUUGAUGUAUGAGACAGUGUUGUCAUGAUUAGAAGUCAUGCUUGGGGAUGGCUCUCAGUUCUACAACACUGGAGAUGUUAAAUUAACAGCUGGAUAACCCUUCAGUGAUAAUAAUGUAGGGAUGUUGAUCUACUCUCUUUGCUCUAUGAUUCUAUGAUAAUAUCAGUCUUCACUAGAGAAUACUUCUAAUUCUUCACGUACAUGUACCCUCUCAUUUCCGUUUUUGUGUGACUCAGUCUUUGGACUAUUUAUACACCUAAAGAAUCUUUUUGAUGGAUAACCAGAGGCCUACAAAUUAAUCCAUGAGAACCAUGGCCCUGAGGAUAUGUGAAAUACCGAAUAACAGGCAGGGAGCUUGGCAUGAACUCUAGAAAUAAAGAGAGGGUAGAAUGAUUUUUGAGUUGAGGAUAGAAGUAUCAGAAGAUAGGAGUUGACAAGCAGGUUGACACAGUUGCUAAUAGGUUAAACAGACUAGGAUUUAAUUGAGUGCUAAAUUGGGCUAGUUACCUUUAAAUUUAGGCCUCUGAGCAAUUUUGGUUUGUGCUGCAAUUUUGCUACUUUCAUUCAAAGAAAUUAGGACAAUGCAACUCCAGAGAUGAGUUGCAGAAAUGCAAAGUAGUAAAAACAUAUUCAUUUUCAAGUAUGAACAUAUACAGGUUUGUGCAUGAGUAUAUAAAUGUAUGCAACAACAUGCUCGUGCCUUGAUACCUGUGGAGAUGUGGAUCCAUCCACAUGAAUGCAUUACUUCACACAUAUACCAAAUGUAAGGAGGAUUAAAUACUUAUCUAAUAGAAAACUUUCACUUGCAGGGAAAUAGGAAAUAGAGCAUUUCAAAGCAGUCGAAUAUCCAAUGGAUGAGAAAAAUAUUUUAGGUAAUAUACUGAUGCCUCUUUCAGGGUUAAUGUCAUGAAACUUCACAGGGUGUAUAAGUAUCUGAAUAGAGACAGAACUCAAGCUGAUAGUAUCAUACCAAGUGAUAGUGUAGGUGAGAGAAGUCCUAAAGAUAUCCAUUAUAGUCUAAAGGAAACUGGCUAUAUUACAUGCUCCAGUUUUCCUUGGAGAAGUGUGUUUGUUAAAUUGUGAUCACCAACAUCUCCAGUCCCAGUUUUUUAGGUUGGACGUAGGGGGCCUUUAAGCAAGUGCUUCCUCAGAAUGCUUUCUGGUGAUCUUCUAAGCUGGCUGUUUUCCUCUUUAGCAUUCUGCAAAGUCUCACUUAGCAUCCUUUAGCUUGUGAAUUUUUGAUGAGUAUGGUACUGCUAUUUUUACAUAAGUUUUGUAAACUCCUUUGAGGAAUGCAGAGGUACAUGGAAAGAAGAAGAUUGUGGUGAGCUUCUUCCUUUAUUUAAUCCGUCCAUGCCCCAACCUCACAGAGACCAGUAUAAAGCUGUAGCUGUAAAAGCUAACUGAUUUGCCCAGUGUUUUUGUUUUGAAGGACAUCAACUAUUUUUAGCAACAAAGAAGUGUUAGGAAGGGGAGGAAGGCAUACCUCAGGACAGAGCUGAAAUGAAGCCCAGAAUCCUGAAGAGAGUGGAGUGGAAAAGCAAGAGUACCUUAGUGAAAGGUCGCCUAAGUGGAGAGUGUAGAUCUAAUGUUCUGGAUGGUUGUAGGAAACCCUCAAUUAAGAGCUCUGUUAAUGGAGAAUUUAGGAAAUGUUAUUAAAAAUUCUCUUAGCCAGCCUAAUAAAGGACAUCAGGACGUGCAAACUGAGCUCGUUGUUUAAUUUGUACAGUAAUCUGUAUUUUGGGGGGGGGGGUUUGAAAUCAACUAUCAACAUGCUUAUUGAGCAACUAUACUUGUACAAAGCAUUGUGCUAGGAAAUGUGUGUGAAGGGUGGGAGGAUGGCAUUUAAAAAUACAAGAUGAGUACAUGUUCUCCAAAAAUAUACAGGAAGCUAUGUGUUAGGAACUGUGUUGGGUGCUUUCCAUAUGUUAUCCCAUUUAAUCUUUCAAACAAAUAUUAGGAAUUAUAAUCAUCCCUAUUUUACAGAUGAACAGCCUGAGACUCAGAGAAGUUAAAUUCUUUCCUCCCUCUUUUCCCUCCCUCCUGCCUUCCUUCCUGUUUCCUUCUCUUUCUUUCAACAAAGUUGAACUAAAAGGCUAAUAGAACAUGGUGUCUUUCUCCCAAGGUUUCACUUUGUCUGAAGGUAGCAGAAUUGUAGCUAUGUAAUUGCUGCUAUAGCAGAGGAAUGAACUCAGCAAUAUGGGAGUUCAGAGUAUGAAGCCUUCUGUUCUAUGUGGAUAUCAGAGAAGACUUCCUGGAAGAGGACAUGUUUGAGUUGAGUCUUAAAAGAUAAGAAAGAGUCCGUUAGUAGACAAGGAAGAUAAGGCAACAGUAACAGCGUGGCAGAUACUGCUGGCUUCUCGCUCAACAGCCAUUACCUUUUGUCUUUCUGGAGAAAGCCAAGAUUUUGCUCAGGUGUUCCUUUUCCUACUUGAUCUGAGGGAGAGUGACCGUAUCCCUACCUUCAGGAGUAAGUACUGAGUGGUUUAAGCCGAUUAUGGUGAGUCCAUCCCUCUAGUUUGAUUAGCUUAGGGGUGGGCAUUUGAACGAGUUCUGGCCAAGGCCAUAUAAAAGGAAAUCUGCUGGGUGACUUAGGAAAUGUUUCUUGCCCUUAAGAGGGAGACACUGGAAGAGAUAGCCAUCUUUUUUUGUCUCUAGGUAUUGCUGUACUUGGAAGGGAUGUUUAGAACUACCACGGCCGUCUUGUGACCAUGAAGGGAGCCAAUCUGAGGGCAAAUAAAAUUUUCUGAGGAUGGUAAAGCAAAGAAAUAAAAACCAGUGUCUUCAAUGACAUCGUUGAGUUCAUGGACAACUGUGCCUGCUUUUCAAUUCAUGUUACCUGGUGUUAUAAUUGUCUUUGUUCCAUCAGCAGGUUUGGAUUGAAGUCUUCUGCAAUGGCAUCCUCACUGAUAACAGAGCAGAUGCAAAUCAUAGGGCUCAGAAAGGUCACAGGGCACUUAGAAAUGGACAAUAGUUCCUCACGUCUGAAAUGCAGGAUAUUGUGGAGUGGAGAGUGUGAUGACGGCUAGAGAUAAGGUGAAAUACUAGACAAGGGUCAGAUCAUGAAGGGCCUUGUAUGUUAGGAUCAGACAUUUGCACUUUAUUUUGUACGUACUGGGGAGGCAUUGAAAAGUUUCAAGCAAGGUAAUGGUAUAAUUAGGUUUGCAGUUUAGAAGCAUUCGUCUGACUACUGUGUGGUGGAUUGAAGAGUACCCUCUGAUAAGACACCGAGGUCAUUCAGUUCAAGAACAAAUGGAUUCACAUGCAGCCACCUAAAAAUAUUCAGCUGCUUUUCCUGCUGAAGCACUCAGAUGACCCACAGGACAAAGGCACAGUUCAACCCCUUCAAUUACGGAUGAGCUAAAUGAAGCUGAGGGACGAGAUGUGACUGGUUCAAGGUCACAGAACCAGUGACUGAGAGAACGGAUUAGAACCCACUCUUUUUUUCAGCUUCAUUGAGUGCACAACAGUGGAAGCCACUCUUGCAAGCUCCAAUCAAGGUGUUCUUUCUGCUACCAGAUGAUCAUUGAUCGCUGCACUCAGAGUUUCAGACCUUUCACAUGGGCUCUGGAGAAAGAGAAAGGCUGUCUGACUUAUUGAGGAGGAUGCCAAAAGUUUGUUAACCUAAGUCCUGCUCUUGGCUCACUGUGUUCUAGAAUAACUCAGUUUUCACUUCAGCUAGAUAGAGUAAAAUGGGAUCAUCUGCCUGGGAAAACGGCCCUUUGUGGACAGUCCUCAAUCAUGCUUGGAUUCCGCAUCAUCAGCCACGUCAGCAACGUGUCAUUAACCUGAAAAAACUCACCAGGCCUUCAGAAUGCUGAGUGACAGAUGAGGCGCACCUCCGUGCUCUGGCUCUGCCUAACCACACCACCAUGAAAUACAUUGCUUAUAACUCUACCAUUCCUUCUGUAUCCCAAGGUUACUUGUAGGAGAAAUAGAAACCAAGGCGUAUCACUGUGUUUCCUCGUCUCUCUAACUUGAUAUGGGUGAAAUCAGUUUUAAAUUAAGGUCGUCCUCUCACCACGUUUUGCUUUGCCCCUCUGCUCACAUUGCAGCUUUCUGGGCUGUGCUCUGAGAAGUGAGGUAUGAGCGUGGCUGCCCACGUUUCCUACGGUCUGUCUGCGAGUCACCAUCACCCCUCGGGGUUGAUGAGUGCAGCAAGUAGGCUUUCACUGAAUCUCCACUUUCUUCCCUUUUUUUCCCCUAGAUGCUUUUCCCCGGCCCAGAAAGAACUUUUCCUUCUACCCCGUGUCCUGAGAAAUGCCAUUACAUCAUAAACUAUAUCCUUCCUCCUCUGUGACGUAUGUUAAAGACGCUUUGCUCUGAAUACUCCAGGUUUUGGGCCUAUAAAUCCUUUUAUCCUACAACAAAUCCUGGCUCUUGCAAAUGCAAUCAAGCUUUAGCUUUAAGAGUUACUUUCUCCAAAAUAAUUUUUGUUUAAGAAUCUAUCAUGAAAGCCAGAAUUUAAAAACUGAGGAAGAAGGGCAGGUAGUGAGGGACUGGACUGAAAACAGAGAUUGUUAAAAUGUGCAUUUUGAGUGGGAAGAUCCUUCAGCUUCCUUCCAUAUCCGGUUAUCUUUCCUCAGGAAGCUACAGGAGGAUGUGUUCCACCAAUAUGAGGGACUAAACCAAGAAAGAGGAAGUGUGGGAUUCAGGAAGCAGGAAAAUAUGUAGGGAAUUCUCAGGAUGGUGCUGAAGGAAAAUCCCAGGAUAACAGCUGUGCAUUAGGUCCAGACUGGAAGAGAGGAUGGAGGGCACCAGGGAAAAAGGAUCAUCGAGUUGCUUUUACUGUAUGGAAAGUUGAACUGAGUUGCUGUUAAAGGGCCUGGGCAGAUCUAGCUUCUAGAACAAGAUGAAAAAAAGAAUCUCACCAAAUUCUAAGGAGGAACAGUUACUGAUUCCAGAAAAAAAAAAGUUGCACCAAGAAGGACAGGUAAUCAUAGUCAGCCACUUAAUUCAGCAGUGAACAAUAUUUAAAUGUCCAAUUAAUGUAAGCUCUGACUAUUGCUUUGAUUAAAAAAGAAAACACGGCAUAUAUUUAUGAUGGAAAAAUGGGGAGAGGAAGAUGGAUGUGAGUGUAGAGUAGUACUCUCAUCUUUUAUGUUACUCUUGUCCUUGUUGUUUACAGCCAGUUAAGGAUUUGUAUCUGGUACUCCUCUUCAUGAUCCCUGCUACAGUGCUGCGCUCUUGUCAUUUCAGAAGUUCUCUUUCUUCAACUUUCUCUGCCUUCUUUUUUCCUAGAGCUUCAUUUCAAUCCCCUGCUCUUUGAGAACUCUUCUCUACUGUCUCAUUAGCAUUUUUUCUUACAAUUUCUCAGAGGUCUUUACACUUUAGCAAUUUUUGCAUUUCUUCAAAAAUUUUAAAUAUUUUAUUGGUAGUUAAUAUUAAUAAUACAUAAAUUUUUGAUACACAUAAGAUUAGUAAAAGUACUUUUGGGCAGUCUAUUAAGUUCACAUGGGUAAUGCAUUUAACGUUAUAUGUAGAUAUUCUAAGCUGAUUUUGUUAGAUUAAGUAAAUAAAAUCUUAGAAACAUAUGCAGUUCUUAUAAAUGUUUACUCAUUACCUGUCAAUGUAGUAUUGAUAAAUUAAGACUCAUGGAUUUUCACUUGAAUGCUAAAUCCUGGGACAGUUCAGAAUGAGCAUGUGCAAGUCCUCCAUCUGAGCAUCUGAUGGAUGGAUGGAUGAGGGGAAAAAUCACAGACAGGUAAGUAAAUAGGUGGAUAGAUAGAUUUGUCUCAUGUUUUGACUUUCCCCAAAGUGUGCUUGAGUUACUGCUUCAUUGAUAUGGGAAGUUUACAAUGCCAGAAAGCUGAGUUCUCAAAUUUAAAUUUUUAUGUGUGUAAUAUUUCAGGAAAAUAGAACAUUUGAAAAUGGAAACUUACAAAUAGAUUCAAGAAUAAGUAUUUAUUUUACAAAAAGAUUUACCCAGAUUCCUUAUUUAAGGAACAUUAGAUCUCAUGUAGUAUGCCAGCCAGUCCUGCAUGUGUGUUACUCCUUAGCUUUCAUUUGGAAUUGAUAUAUUUUGUCCUCCGUAAAUUAUUGACUGCCAGAAGUUCCAGGGAUCAAGUUGGAUACAAACUGAACUUAAAAACAUGUGUUUACUGAGGUGCUUGAUAUAGCAUUUUACCUUUGAUGGCCGCUGAGCUAUCUGACAAUGAGUCCCUGGAAAUGAAACACAGCAGUGUUACUGGAUGUUUUAUAAACCCAUCUUAUCAAGUGAAAGUUAACUUAAAAAAAAACAUGGAUUUUAACUAUGAUUUUUUUAAAU